UACGUAGGGCGCGAGCGUUGUCCGGAAUUAUUGGGCGUAAAGAGCUCGUAGGUGGCGGGUCACGUCGGGUGUGAAAGCCCGGGGCUUAACUCCGGGUCUGCAUUCGAUACGGGUCUGCUGGGGUCCGGCAGGGGAGACUGGAAUUCCUGGUGUAGCGGUGAAAUGCGCAGAUAUCAGGAGGAACACCGGUGGCGAAGGCGGGUCUCUGGGCCGGUACCGACGCUGAGGAGCGAAAGCGUGGGGAGCGAACAGG
rnacentral:rRNA from 1 species